rnacentral:rRNA from 1 species
AAUGAACGCUGGCGGCAUGCCUUACACAUGCAAGUCGAACGGCAGCACAACCUAGCUUGGCUGGUUGGUGGCGCGAGGCGCAGGGGGGAGUAGUGUACCGGAACGUGUCUUUUUGCGUGGGGGAUCGUAGCGAGAGAUACACUCUUAUCGCAUAUACGCUGUGGAGGAAAACAGGGGAGCUCUUGGCACUGUGCUAGAUUAGCUGCCGAUGUCGGAUUAGCUAGUUGGUGGGGUAAAGGCUCACCAAGGCGACGAUCCGUAGCGGGUCUGAGAGGAUGAUCCGCCACACUGGAACUGAGACACGGUCCAGACUCCUACGGGAGGCAGCAGUGGGGAAUUUUGGACAAUGGGCGCAAGCCUGAUCCAGCCAUGCCGCGUGGGUGAAGAAGGCCUUCGGGUUGUAAAGCUCUUUCGGCUGGGAAGAAAACGCGCCCGCUAAUACAGCGUGUGGCUGACGGUACCCAAAUAAGAAGCACCGGCUAACUACGUG